GUAACGUUCGUCUUGUUCAACGAAUAUUUGGAUUUCUGUAUUUCCUGUCUCGGAGUCGUGUCGAUUCGAAUUAUAAAUGUUUAAGGCAUAGAGAAAUAUUUUUUAUACUGGAAACAUUCACUUGUACGUCUCUACUGAUGACCUUCAAUGUCACGGGCCGCGUUACGCACAGCGUUUGUGCGCAGGACGCUACACGGGUUAAGAGGCUGAUUCAAGAAUGUUCUGCCAUAUUUUUCAUUCUGUCAAACACAACGACAGUGCAGAGAUAAUUAUUCCAAGCCCUGACACCGAUAUUUUUGUAUUAGGCCUUUAUUUCUGGCAUUUUUUAUGUAAUUUAUUUAAUUAAAAAUUGAAAACAAUUAUUUCGGCCAUAUAUGUAUAACUUUAGUAGGCAGGUACUUUAUGUAAUAUUAUAAAAAAAAAUCACUAACCCGAAAUUAUAUUAAAAUAAAAUUCAAAUUCAAAUUCAAAUUCGUUUAUCCAAUCAAACUUAACCUAACCUUAGAGCUAAAUACAUUAGGUGUUGUACAUAUUAUGUUUAGUGAUAGGUAUGUAUCAAUCAUCGGUUCAAGACUGGCAUCUUUGCUAGGUUACCGAGAAGAAACGAAAAUGGCCAAGAACAAGACGACGACAUAAUCUUCGAAGACUUCGCGCGCCUCAGGCUGAAGGGCGCGGACGCUGAUGCUUGAACAUUAUGCUAACAGCGCUCUCUUACUGAACUACAUUCUAUAUUUUGUUAUACCAAACGCACAAUUGUAUCGUACUUUUUGAAUUUUCAUAAACAACAUUGUUCGUUUUGAAAUCCAUCGAAUGACCAUAGACACAAGAAAUAAGUGUUACCAUCCUUAGCGAAAAGUGUUAUAAUCUGUAUUAAAAUAAAAAUGAUGUAUAAAAUCA